GGGACAGACCUGACCCCCCUCCUAUUUUCUUCUCCUUUUCGCCGUUUCUGGUUUUCCGGUGAUUUCGUCUCCGUCCGGCCACCUCAGGACGUACCGCUUGGCAUGGAAUGAUCCUCUCCUCCUCCUCUCCCUAUCCAUCUUCUCACGGCCGAUGGAGGAAGAAUUGAAGGUGUUUGAGAACGUGAACAUUGGCAUGAACAGUAACUAACGAAUUCUUGGUUUUUGUUUUGAUUUUUCCGGCCAAAUCGUUGGGAAUUGUUGGUUGAUGCAGGUAUAGAAAUUGUUGGGUGUGUUGUGGAGAUGAUUUUGAGCUUGUUAGGUUGGCCGGAUUUGGGGGUUGGUGUGGUGGCAUGUGAAGCCACGUGUCGCUGCUGCUGGUGGUGGUGAGGAGGCUCGGACGUACUGAGCCCUCGAGCGAGGAGGACAUGGGCAGGCAGCAGGAUUAGCUGCGAGACUCACCUGUGAGUGGACUUUUAUUUUGUUUAAAUGAUGCAUUCAGCAUGGCAUUAAAUUUAUAACUUGAUUAUUGUUUGGAUAAACGUGGUUUUCGUGGAAAGAAAAGAGUUUAAAGAAACGAGUUGGCAAGGAGGCUAUUUUUCGGCGCAUGCGUACAUUACCUAGUCGGCAGUCCCCUCUAGGUAAUGG